rnacentral:rRNA from 1 species
UACGUAGGGGCUAGCGUUAUCCGGAAUUACUGGGCGUAAAGGGUGCGUAGGUGGUUUCUUAAGUCAGAGGUGAAAGGCUACGGCUCAACCGUAGUAAGCCUUUGAAACUGAGAAACUUGAGUGCAGGAGAGGAGAGUAGAAUUCCUAGUGUAGUGGUGAAAUGCGUAGAUAUUAGGAGGAAUACCAGUUGCGAAGGCGGCUCUCUGGACUGUAACUGACACUGAGGCACGAAAGCGUGGGGAGCAAACAGGAUUAGAUACCCGCGUAGUCCCUGA